UUCUUCUUUCUGUUUUAACUCCUUUUUCAAGCCAGAACGCAGUCUGCAAUGUGUACUGGCUUUUUCUGCGUUCCAGCACCUUCCAAGCUAGCUGGGUCGGUCACCUUUAUUUUCAUAUCGUAAGAUCCUGUGAGGAGAUAAUGAGCCCCAGGGGAGAAGCGAACAGAACGGACAUCACUGGAAUGAGGAUGAUAACUCUGCACCAUUCGCCCACCACGUAUAUCAUACAGCAUACAACUGGAGUCCUCUUGGCCUGUAGCUAAAAGACGACCACUAGGAUCUACAGCUACUGAAGCCACAGCACUGCCUGAAACAAGAAAUUCCACUGAGGAAGAGAGCGAAGAUAUUCCUAAGUCAAAUACCAGUUUUCGAGGAACGGCAGAGGAGGAGCUAAACAGCAUAUAAGCAAACAGUUAUAAAGAGACUAAACACACACUUCACAAAAU